rnacentral:lncRNA from 1 species
CACUCAGUGAUCGCUUAGUAGGCCAGUUUGGGCCUUUAAGUGAAAAUACAGGGUUUCUCAGCCCCUGGCCUAUCCAGGGCAUCUCUCAUCAAAAGAACCAGAAAGAAGCCUUUAUGCAGUGAUUGCUUACAGCUCAGUAGGGUCCCCGCCAGCCUCAGGGGGAGGCUAACUUCCUCGUUAUUAGGGCUUCAUCUUUAUUUGUUUGAAAUUACCGUGAUGAUGAAAUGUGAGGGGAGGGGCACUGGAAACCACAUAAGCUAUGAGAUGAUCUGAGAUUUUGAGAUUAUUGCAGAAAUGAGUCUGAUUGAAGUACAUGACUGUAUACCUGCGUCCCAAGCUUAUUAAUCACAUUGAGAUACAGAAAUAUGCCACUCUUGGGCCACACACAUGUGUACAUAUACACACACAUAUAUUUGUAUGUAUCUUUUUCUUAAAAGGCUUAAAAAGUUGCUGAAACAGAGCAUUUUUAUGUUAGGGCUCUUGCUGGACUUGAAAUAGACCUGGCCUGGAUGGGCUUUUCUCUCUCCCUGCCUGGGGCCAGGCAGGCUCCCCUGGACUGGGAUGCGCCUGCACCUCCCCCACCUGGGACGGGAAGCCAGUAGCGGUUGUGCUGGGAAUCUUCGGCUCUCCAGUUGCCCUCAGGAGUCUCAGCAGGUCCCUAGAGCAAGCUGAAGGCUCUGGGCCACAGCUCACUAAAUAGCUCCCACGUUCUGUUCUGUUAGCACGGUGGUCGGUGGUUGCAGCAGGAAGGGGAGGGAGGCACGGGUGAAGGGAGGUGGGAAGUGACUGCUGGUGGCCCAGUCAGUGUUAGGUGCCAUUUAGGUGCUGACACUGGUGGCUGGGCUAUUCACAACAGGCCUCUGCAGAUUGUGUGAGGCUGCCUAGCAGAGCCCCCUGGGACUCGGGGAAUGUGACUCCCUUUCUGGUGAUUCUACCAGAUGGAGAUAUUUCAGAGACAUCACCUUAUAGGAGACAGAACCAACUGUAGAAGAGGGCCACAUACCUCCCCAACGCAGUGAAAGUCACAAGUCUGGAGGCAGUCAGAGCUGGGAAGAAACAGGUGCACAUGGUGUGAAACAGUCACUCAAAUUCCCACCCUCUCAGGCCACAGAAUGUGUAAGACCUGAAGUGCCAGGGUAUUUGCUUAUGCUGGGAGGGUCCUCCCUCCGAGGGGAGAGAGCUUUGAGGGUUACCCGAAGGGCAGAAGUGCUGAUGAACACUUGCGUUGAGUCACAAGCAUCUCUUGACCCGCAUCAUGUUCUGAGGUUUCUCCUUUGACCAUGGCCAGAGAUGCAGCCAUGUCCUAAGAAUGUUUGGGAUCCAGAUAGGCGCUGUCACCCAAAAGGCCUGCACUGGGCGGGGCGGGGUGCGGGGAGGAGACCGUAGGAUUUGGACAAAGCCCCUGGAAGCCCUUUUAAGCCCACUCCACAUGAGCAGCUUCUGGUGUCUCCCCAACCUGUCCCAUACACAGGUCUAUACCUUCUGACCCCCAGUGGGGUGGCAAGCGGCUAGCUGCUGUAGACUGCCAUGCCAGGAGCACACAUGACACCUCCUUCCCCAUGUUUAUGUCCCUUCAUCCCCAACAUAUAGUAUUUCCAUUAUCUUUUACCCUGCAUGGACUCUUGUGAUGAGAUGCAUUUCCAAGAAACCUCCUUUUCUCUUGGUGUUACAGGAAAGCGGCUCCUUGGAGUAUGGGGGAAAAUAGGGAGGAAGGACAUGGAAAGAUGGGAAAGGAGGGAGGGAGGAAGGAAGGAGGGAGGAAGAGAGGGAGGAAAAGGUAGGGGGAAGCUGGAAUCCAAUCUUUCUUCCUCGGGUAAUGGUUACUUUUUUAGGACUUUUUUUUUUUUUUUACAUUUCUUUAGUUUUUCUGCUCACCAUUCCUCCAGUUUUAACCCAAUGAAGCUGAUGACUUGCUAACUGACUCUUUAUAAGAGUGAAACUACUUGAAAUUCUCAGGUAAUUCAGAGCUUUGAGUGCAUAAAAUUUGUAAUUUUCCCUAAAGGGCUAACAAACUAUUCCCUUUGCUACUCUGUUAGCUGUGUCUGAGGACCUGAUUUGGAUGUAUAUUUGAGGAUUUAAGGGAAGCAGAGUCACAGACACCAUUAAUUUUGAGAUUCCAAUUGUUGACCUCCACUGAACAAAUGAUCAGACAUGCAUCUAUAGAAGGAAAGUUCUAGAACUUGGCACUUCCAAGCUGAUGGUAAGUGCCCUAGUCCCUCUUGUUUCAAUGAGGUGGGAGUUUGCUGCAGGAGCUUUAGUCCCUCCUGAAACCUGCCUUUGUAUCCUGCUGGGGACCUUGUCCUCUCUUCUGUAUGUAUCCCAUCUUCAUCAUUCGUUCCUCUGUUCUGCGAAGCAGCUCUGUGAGUAGAAUAUGGCUUCUGAAGCUCAGACCAUGCUUUCUUUACUCUUGAGUUUGCUGGUCUUAAAAAUAACUUACAGUGAACUAUAGGCUGAAGAUUAAGUUGACCAGCUGAACCUCCCAAAUACACAGGAUUAUGGCCACCUUGCUCUUCACAAAAUUCUCCACCUAAGGGAAUUUAAAUAAGCCUAUUUCCAGCCCCAUCUCUCAGGAGUAGGUCAGUAUGGAAGUGGCUUAGCUAGAGAAGGAGUGGGGAAGGGCUAAAGACAUACCCUCACCUUUUAUCACACCUGACCUGCAUACUUCUUACAUGAAACUGUGUUACAGGCCAAGGAGUGUCUUUAUGCAUUUGGCUGAUGACCUUGGCUGUGUAAUGAAUGGACCCCUUUGGAUAGAAAAAGAAGCUCUUAAAACAAAAUUUAAUUUCAUUAACUGAGCACCUGUUAUAUGCAAAACAGUCCUUGCCCAUGGGUGCUGCAAUAAGGGAGGAAAAGCAUUGAUCCAAACUGUGGAAGGUGUAAAGGCUAAGAAUGACAUUCCACCUAACAGAAUAGUGUAAAGACUUGCAGUAGGAAAUCAGUGUGACCUUGGGCCAACUAUUUAGCCUCUUCCAUCAUCAGUUUUUUUGUUUCCAAAAUGUUCCUUUCAGCUCUAACACACUCUGGUCACUAUGACUCAGCUGGAAACUCAAAGAACUCUAGUGAAAGGUAGGAUGAUAAAUUCACAGAGGCACAGGGCGAAUGCUGAGAGGCUCCAGCAGAGGGAGCACUUGACUCUAAAAGUAAAGGGGGACGUCUGAGCUGAGCCCAUCAGUAUUUCCCUUCUCCAGAGCUACAGACCAAAGCUCCUGGCUGCCGCAGAUUGCACCUGGCCCUUGGUCUCAUUUAGGGAGCAGUAAUAAUGGCAGAUUUAGGUUUCCUCUCUCUGCCCUCUGCCCUGGCUGGCAGCAGCAGGAGGACCUGGGGAGGCUGGAGGAAGGCAGCCCGCCCUGUCGCAGUAGCUCAGAACUGCGCUUUCCCAUCUAGACUCCACCUGCUGUAGCUUCUGGGACUGCAGUCAGGACAUUAGCGACCUUGGGUCAGCAGGAGGUGGGGACUUGGUGGUCAGCAAAGCAUUUCCUGUCCAGAAGGAAGUUCUAGGAACCUCUGGAAGGAACACAUGGGCAAAGACCACUCUCCUAAAACCACAGGCAGACAAACUCCCAGACACCCAGGUCUGUUACUGCAGGAGGUGGUGGGUGGAAAAUAGCAGGAAACAGGUCUCGGGGGCACGGGGGCAGGUGGUUUGACCUGGUGGCUUCUCUGUGUCCCACGAAGAUGCUAGAGGAGGCCCUUUCUGGCAAAAUUGGAAACGGAGGACUCUUCUAGCAAAAUUCUUUUGUUUGCUCCUGUUGUCCAUGCCCCCAACGUAGGUUUGGGUAAAUAAUUCAAAUUUCUGGAAGGUGGUAGGAAUAAUUCAUUUUUCUUCAUACUGAAUUAGGAGUAUUGUUUUCAGUAUAGAAAAGCAUCUGAAUUUGAACACCAACUUAAGACAAAACAAACAAACAAACCCAUCCAAUUGGAGGAACCAGAGGGAAAAGCAAUAAUUUAAUUUGAAUAAGCAUGCCACUGAGACUGCAAUGUUAGUCUCCUUGACCAGCCUCCUGUGUUGUUGCACUGAUCAGAGCUUGGAAAGAGGGGUCUCUGCAAGUGAGCCUUUUAAUCCUGGUCUCAGCCCACCCCCUCAACCCUGUCACCAUGAGCUUAGACAGCAGGUUCUGGGAGCCUUGCAGAUCACAACAGCAUGGCCAGUUGGUUUCCCUUCUUCCUACUCAGAUGGGACACGAGGGGAGGAGAAUGGCUGGUGAGGACGACUCGGCACCCCUCACCCCAUGUUCAGACCUUCCUGCAUCAAGGACAAGUUCCCCAUCCCCAGGUGGAGUGUGGCCCCCACCUGGAACGAGAAACAUAGGAAGGGGUAUUUCAAGGCCGGCAAGUCACUAAUAAAAAUUAAGAUUCCACUUACCACGCACUCUGCAGUCCUCGGCUGUCCUCUCCUCCUCUGGUUCGUCAGUGGCACAUGUCAUUCUUGGUGCUCCAAGUGGCCAGGACUUCCAGGUUUCUUGGCCAGAUUAUAAGGUGGAGUAAUUCUAAUCCAACACUCAUGGUUCUCAGCUCUCUGGACAGAUGCGCACAUUUCUGUGUUCUCACUAAUACAGACCUGGUGCUAUUUGUGGCUAACAGUGCCUACGGAUGUAAUUCCUACAUUUUCUCUUUUUUUCCUAAUGCAUUGCCACCAUGGAAUCGCAUUAGAAAGACAGAUGUCCAUGGAGGAUUUUCCAUAGCACAAGAUCUUUGUUCUUAUUCUAAAUUUUUUAGGAGGGCUUGGUUUCCAGUGUCUGAGUACCACCCCCCCCUUUAUUUUUAACAAUGGAAAUGUUUUCCUUUCCUAUUAGCCAAAAUGAAAUUUCAGUCAAAAGAACCACAUCAGGCUCUCGCUUCCCUCUCUCCCUGGUGAGUUGAAAUGGACAGAGGUACACAGGUUGGGAUCAUUUUUGAAUCAGUUGCUCCAGGGUUCUUGCUAGAGAUGAAAGACUUUUCUGUUCCUCCACCACAGUGAGGUCAGGGCAGUGACAACAAACAUUUAACUUCUCGAAACCUUGUGGUGCCUUUUCUUGUGGUGCUUCUCUCGUGUAACUCCAGACAAGGCAGCCACUUGCAGCAAACAGCAAUGCCAGUGCUUUUCCUUGGUAUUAUGUGCCAGUGCAGUAAAAGACUUUAAUGUAUACAUAUAUAAAUAGAUAUAGAUAUAGAGAUAUCACUAUAGUUAUAUAAUUAUAUAAUUGAGGUUCUGAUGCAGCUUUGGUGGGAGUUGAUCUUUCCUCUGCAAAAAUCGACACUACUCAACCGGAACUAAGAGCUCUGGGGAGAGUUUGGACUUCCGGGAAGGGCACCAGUGAAUGAGAUGGGUUACUCCUGUCACAGGUUUUCUUCUCCUCUCUUGUGAAAGUUGCUGUCUCCAUAACAUGAUGUGUUUGCUAAGGGAGCAAAGAGCAGCUUCUUUUGAACUUCCUUUGGUGCUGAUAUUUUAAAAUUUAUGUGUUUGUUUUGCUUCCUCAUCGGUGGCCAGUAAGCUGCUUUUCCAAAAUCUCAACUCACCGAUCAAAGGUGACAGGGGACAGUCUGGGAAUAAGAGGCUAGAGGUCAGGAAUCCCUGCCUCUUAAUCCAGAUAGUUUCCUCUGUGACCUGCACAUGUUUCCCAGACUCAGUCUCCCCAUCUAAAAGAGACAUUGUACUUCCUUACCUCAUGGGGAAGGGUGACCUGAAAGGAUUCAGCAGAGGCACGAAAAUACAAAGUCAUUAUUAAUCUGGAGACAGCAACUUGACAUGUGUUUAAGAUUUUGUUUGUAUGUUUUGCUAAGAUUUUGAUCUUGGGGUUUUGCUUUGUUCCUCUCUUGCUCCUCCAUCUCCACCAUGUGGUCCGUCCUCCCUUUGGCAAUACCUUUGAAAAUUGUGUAACUGACAGACGCAACCUAAAGGGUUGGGUAGUGCUAUUUCUCCCAUGGGAACAACAUCACUAAUACUGUAUAAGGUGCUAGAAUCAAACCUCAUUUUAUAAACUUUGGUUCUUAGAGAAAAACAAAACAUGCAGAAUUCUUUCUGUGAAGCCUUACUCUAGAUUGUUAUAGCCAAUUGUUUAUCCAAAAAGAGAGAGAGAGAAUAGAAAAUAAAGAUAAGAUGCAGUGAUUCUAUAUAAAAUGUAACUAAAAGAUCUUUGCUAUUUCCUAUAUUAAUGUAAACUAUCAUAUAUAUAUAUAUUUGUAUAUAUAUAUGCUUGAGGCAGAUAGAAAGAAUGAAACAAAAUGUAGAGUAUGUUCAUCUUUAUUUUAAUUUCCAGUCGGUUCACAACUUUUAGUAUGUGAGCAAGUGAGGAUGAUGGUAGGAUGGGAGGGGAUAAGGGAUUCCUGGUAUGAUAUAGGAAAUGACUCAUUUCUGUUCUGUUCUAUAUGUUAUUAGAAGGAAUUUGACUGAAUGAGGAGAAAGGGAAAUCAACGAAAACAUAAACGUGCUUUCUAAAUGUUCUGAACAUUGACAUUAUGCUUUGGUGUUGUUUCUUCUGUAUUCUAAGUUUCUGGAGAGCGCUGUAAAACAUGUCUGCUGCCUAAGGUGUUAACACAUAAUGUUUACCUCAAGAAAGC